CACACGUGCAUUUCUUCAUGUGUGUAUGUGU
rnacentral:piRNA from 2 species